GGUUAAGCGACUAAGCGUACACGGUGGAUGCCCUGGCAGUCAGAGGCGAUGAAGGACGUGCUAAUCUGCGAUAAGCGUCGGUAAGGUGAUAUGAACCGUUAUAACCGGCGAUUUCCGAAUGGGGAAACCCAGUGUGUUUCGACACACUAUCAUUAACUGAAUCCAUAGGUUAAUGAGGCGAACCGGGGGAACUGAAACAUCUAAGUACCCCGAGGAAAAGAAAUCAACCGAGAUUCCCCCAGUAGCGGCGAGCGAACGGGGAGCAGCCCAGAGCCUGAAUCAGUGUGUGUGUUAGUGGAAGCGUCUGGAAAGGCGCGCGAUACAGGGUGACAGCCCCGUACACAAAAAUGCACAUGCUGUGAGCUCGAUGAGUAGGGCGGGACACGUGGUAUCCUGUCUGAAUAUGGGGGGACCAUCCUCCAAGGCUAAAUACUCCUGACUGACCGAUAGUGAACCAGUACCGUGAGGGAAAGGCGAAAAGAACCCCGGCGAGGGGAGUGAAAAAGAACCUGAAACCGUGUACGUACAAGCAGUGGGAGCACGCUUAGGCGUGUGACUGCGUACCUUUUGUAUAAUGGGUCAGCGACUUAUAUUCUGUAGCAAGGUUAACCGAAUAGGGGAGCCGAAGGGAAACCGAGUCUUAACUGGGCGUUAAGUUGCAGGGUAUAGACCCGAAACCCGGUGAUCUAGCCAUGGGCAGGUUGAAGGUUGGGUAACACUAACUGGAGGACCGAACCGACUAAUGUUGAAAAAUUAGCGGAUGACUUGUGGCUGGGGGUGAAAGGCCAAUCAAACCGGGAGAUAGCUGGUUCUCCCCGAAAGCUAUUUAGGUAGCGCCUCGUGAAUUCAUCUCCGGGGGUAGAGCACUGUUUCGGCAAGGGGGUCAUCCCGACUUACCAACCCGAUGCAAACUGCGAAUACCGGAGAAUGUUAUCACGGGAGACACACGGCGGGUGCUAACGUCCGUCGUGAAGAGGGAAACAACCCAGACCGCCAGCUAAGGUCCCAAAGUCAUGGUUAAGUGGGAAACGAUGUGGGAAGGCCCAGACAGCCAGGAUGUUGGCUUAGAAGCAGCCAUCAUUUAAAGAAAGCGUAAUAGCUCACUGGUCGAGUCGGCCUGCGCGGAAGAUGUAACGGGGCUAAACCAUGCACCGAAGCUGCGGCAGCGACGCUUAUGCGUUGUUGGGUAGGGGAGCGUUCUGUAAGCCUGUGAAGGUGUACUGUGAGGUAUGCUGGAGGUAUCAGAAGUGCGAAUGCUGACAUAAGUAACGAUAAAGCGGGUGAAAAGCCCGCUCGCCGGAAGACCAAGGGUUCCUGUCCAACGUUAAUCGGGGCAGGGUGAGUCGACCCCUAAGGCGAGGCCGAAAGGCGUAGUCGAUGGGAAACAGGUUAAUAUUCCUGUACUUGGUGUUACUGCGAAGGGGGGACGGAGAAGGCUAUGUUGGCCGGGCGACGGUUGUCCCGGUU
rnacentral:rRNA from 1 species